UACGGGGGGGGCAAGCGUUAUUCGGAAUUAUUGGGCGUAAAGGGCGCGUAGGCGGCCCUGUAAGUCGACGGUGAAAUCCCUCGGCUCAACCGAGGACGUGCCGUUGAUACUGCAGGGCUCGAGGCCGGGAGAGGGUAGUGGAAUUCCCAGUGUAGCGGUGAAAUGCGUAGAUAUUGGGAGGAACACCGGUGGCGAAGGCGGCUACCUGGACCGGUUCUGACGCUGAUGCGCGAAAGCGUGGGGAGCAAACAGG
rnacentral:rRNA from 1 species